GAUGUUAUGUCAGGGCCAACGGUGAGUGGAUCAUCGAAAGCUAUCACGCCGCCGAAGCCCGUCGAGGUGGUGGUGUUUGGACUGACUAUGGGGACUGCACUAGGAUUGUUGCCGCUCCUAGUGUCGUGUAAAAAGAAGUGGAGAUAGGUUACUUUUUGGGGAGGUGGAACGUAUGGUCCGGCAUGGGAGUAAUAAUCUUGGCAACGAGCUACUGUCAUGGCGGUGCUGAGACUCAAAAUCCAGGCUAAUAUCAUAUUUCUCUCCAUUGGUAAUGGUCAAUGGGAUUUCACUACUGCGUAUAUUGUAUUAUGGCACCUAAUUCAUAGGUUCCUUAGUUUAUAUAGAAAGAUAAAAUAAAACAAAACCAUAAAUUUAGUUUUUAAUAUUUAUAUUUUUAUCAUUUUAUUUUUAAUUAAAUUUAAUCAUUAAUUUUUUUAAAAAUAAGAUAGUUUUCUUUUAUCAAAAAUACUAAUUAAAACAUUAAUUUUUUAAUCAUGUCAGCGUGAUAACCAACGUGAUAGUUCACGUAUAUUUAUCCUAAUAUGAUACUAUUGUUCUAAUAAGUAAAAAUUUUAAAAUUCAAAACAAAUAUAAAAAAGUUAAAAAAAAUUAGCAUUGAUUACCAUAUGACUGUUAUAUUUAAAUAUUUAACAAUUUAGUAAGUAUUUAUGUUUAAAAAAAAGUAAUUAAAUUUAAUGGUAAAAUUAGGUUUAGAAUCAAAUUUAAUUAAAAGAGGAUCAAAAUUGAUAAAAAAAUAUAUAAAUAUUAAAAAGUCUAUAGGCCCCUUCCGUUGGGUUAAUUAAGAUUCAGUAAUACUAAUGUAUUUGUGCUAUGUACAAAUAUACAAUUAUAAUAUUAUUGGUGGAAAAAAAAACGAUAAUACUAAUGUAUUUUAUAAAAUUAAUAUAAAAUAGAUAAGUAAAAUUUAGGAUAAUUUCAUAGAUCUAUCAAUUUUGAAAUUAAAAUAACUUCAAUUUAUGAGAAAUAAGAAUAAUUAACAAAUUAUACUUCUAACUCAAACUAGUACGUACAAUGCUGAGGCUGGCAGCUUUUGGUUACAUUGCUUAAAAGCUUUCGCAUUCUUAAUCUGCAUAAAACAACGGAGGAUGAGAAGACUAUCAGAUCCUGCUUGGUGGCUUAAUCCAGCAACACGAGCCACGUUUAAAGUUUUUGCCACCUUUUCUAGUCCACCGUGUAAGUUAAAGAUCUUGAAAUUGUACUUGAUGUCAAAAAUCAUACAACCAAAGUAAUAAGUCAAAUGUCGCAUGAAAGACUUGAGAUCAGGCGGUAAUAGAUUUUGAGACAAAAUCUUCAACAAAAAUCCAAAAUCAUAAGCGCUGUGAAAAGUUACCCAAGUCAAUUCACCGAAACCCAACCCUGAAAUCAGAACCAUCAUGCCAAAAUCUCUUGAACAGAUGCUUUUUUCCUUAUUUCUUGUAAAAUCUAUACCUUGUCGUUUAAGUAACUCAAUAGACUCUUUAUCGUAAUGAUCUUUUUCAAUAUCAAAAUCUUUAAAAUUAAACUCCCAUAUAUAACAAAAAGGAGUUCCGAAAUCUGGCAAAUUACCUUCAGAAUCAGAGAGUGUUAAACCGAGUUGAAUGAUCUUCAAAGCAUCGACAUUAACUUUCAUGAACCUGUAAUUGACUUCGGGAUUUCCUAAUUGAACGAAUCUUUUUUCUGGUUUAAAAAUUGUACCAGGAAAUUCGGUAUCCAUAGAAACAAAAGAAUAGUUGUGGAGUGCACUUCAAAUUAACAUAAACUCAUAUUCCAAAUUAUUAGCAAAUACUUCCCUAACAAUCACUGGUUUGUUGACAAAAAUCGACAUUUUUUUUCUUGACUUAUACUUUAAACUGAAACUAUUGAACUCGAGAUAUACUUUUAGUGAUCUUAAGUCAGUUCUAACUAAGAUAUAUAUAUAAAUAUAAUUUUCAUAAUCCUAAUUCAAUUCUAACUAAUAUAAUUUUCGUAAUCCUGAUUAAGUUCUAAGAUAGUGUGUUAAUAUAUAAUUUCUUAAUUUGAUUUUUUUUACUAAAUUCGUUUUAGAAAAGGAAAAAGAAAAACUUGUGGAUUUUACUAAUUUGCCCUUGAAAGUUACUGCAAGUUAUAUGUUUUGAUGGGUGAGAUUUAGGUUUAAGGUUUAGCGUUUACAUUUUUAAGUUUAUGUUUUAUUAUUAAUAAUAAUAUAAAAGGUGUCACAAUUAUAUAUUUCAAAAAAUAUAAUUUAAUAUUUAGUUACACAUUUAAAAAUAAUUAUAAUUUAAUUAACCCCAAAGGCAGAAUGAUCAGUAUCGAAAAUAUCCCAUUGGUCGCGAAAACACGCGGACCCUAGGUCGGUUAGGGUCGGUCGGAUCGGGUUGUAUCAAAAUGAUGCCGUUUUAGCAUCGAAAAUUAAAAUCCAAAACAACACUGUUUUACAACUCCUAUUUAAGUCAAAAAAUUUCAUUUCAGCCUUCAUUUUAAAAAAAACCGAAACCUUCUUUUUAUUCUCAAAGCUAUCUUAAGCCGGUCAUAGCUCCGGCGAUCACCGCUGUACCGGCCACCUGUCACCGGCGAGGGCUCCGCCGUACACUGAGCCUUUAGUUUUUAUUUAUUUAUUUGGGCUUGUUAUUAUUAUUAAUUUUUAUUUUAAUUCUUGGUUUAUAUUUUGAUGGGCUCGGGCAAAAAUGUCCCAUUUCAGAGUAGAUGGUUAUUGUUCUCCCUUCAAUCCUAAUCUAGUCAACAACAGUCUAUAGCCUAUGUCUAACUUGGAAUUUUCUUCAAUGCUUUUGGGUUUUUGUAAGUCUAGUUUGUAGUUGAUAUUUUGAGACCUCAAAUGAUGAAUUUAGGUACUGCAAAGUUAAACAUCCGUUACCAUACCAAAUUCUUAGCUCAUCUUUAAGGUCAGAUAUAACCAAUGUAUUCUAUAUUUAUGGAUGAACAGAUGUGUUUUUGCUGUUACAAAGUGGCGUAAACCUCUUGGUUUGAAGCUCCCUUUUCUCACCUGUAAUGGCUUCCUUUAGUGUCAUAUAUCCGACUACCCAAAUUGCAUUAUAUGCCUCUCGAGAACACCACACAGCAGAGGCAGGAAAGUUAGAUCAGCUGAAAUCAGGCUGCAAAAUAACUUCUAAAAAUGGGUUAACUUUUAAAUAUUAUAACAAUUAAGUCCCUUAAAUCUGACACGUUUCAAACCUAACGAAAGCAACAGGGGGCCAACAUUAUUGGUGGAAUAAACAAUCACUCCUAAUCCAUAGAAGAAGAAAAAAAAACUAGCAAGAUAAUUAUCUUAAUAAUGAAUUACAGUCACAUUAUACUCAACAAUGGCGUCGCCAGUCUUGAAAUUCACGGAAUAAGUCUUGAGUUGUGCAUACCCUUUCGCCAUCCUGAACUUCCCUUUCCCUCCGACCACCGCAAGCUCACGCUCCGAUUCGGUAAUUGGAUUCCUCGACAAAACACUGAUAGAGCUGCCGUUGAAUUCACCUUUCGUAAACCCGAUGUCCAAGUACGCCAUCAGAGUCAAAACGUCUUUGCCUGUCGACACCCAGAGGCCUUGAGCGUUCCCUAUGACCUCUGAUGUUAUGUCGGGGCCAACGGUGAGUGGAUCAUCGAAAGCUAUCACGCCGCCGAAGCCCGUCGAGGUGGUGAUGUUUGGACUGACUAUGGGGACUGCACUAGGGUUGUUGCCGCUCAUAGUGUCGUGUAAAAAGAAGUGGAGAUAGGUUACUUUUUGUGGAGGCGGAACGUAUGGUCCGGCAUGGGAGUAAAAAUCUUGGCAACGAGCUACUGCCAUGGCGGUGCUGAGAAUCAAAAUCCAGGCUAAUAUCAUAUUUUUCCCCAUUGUUAAUGGUCAAUGGGAUUUCACUACUGUGAUUAUUGUAUUAUGGCAGCUAAUCGAUAGGUUCAAUUUAUCC
rnacentral:lncRNA from 1 species